GCUGAAAAUGGGUGUGGUACGGAAACACAGAAAUGGCAUGAGUUCAACAUCAAACAUGGAUUAUAAUUUUAGCAGGGAAUCGAGUCAAAUCUGGAAGUGUUACAGGAUGGAAGAGUUGGCCUGUAGUUGAAAAAACACUGAGAGUGCAUUACUGUUAAGGUAUGAGGUAAAGUAAUAGAGUAAUGCAAAUUGUCUAGUGAACAAUUGUGGGACCGUAUUUGGGCUGAAAAUGGGUGUGGUACGGAAACCCAGAAAUAGCACGAGUUCAACAUAAAACAUGAAUUAGAAUUUUAGUGGGGGAUCAAGUCAAGUCUGGAAGUGUUACAGGAUGGAAGAGUGAG